UCUAAGUAAUACAUCUAACUAAAGGACAAAAAGACCCUUUGAAGCUUUAUAGGGAUAAAACUUUGAUUGCAUUUUUUAGCUUAGGCCGCUCAAAGAUCUAUAUCUGAGGUGUGCCUUAAUAAAUUUAUUUAUUGGUCUUGCCUUUAAAAUAAAGAUCAAGACC
rnacentral:rRNA from 1 species